CGGGGAUCAUUGGACUGGGUUUUGGUGAGAUGUGAGGAGCCCCCCGUACUGUGUCCCAAAUUUUCAGAGUUUGGGCUGCCAGGAAUGUCUGAAGUGUUCUAUACUGAUGUAAUUUUUUGGUAUUCCACAUAGAUGCUUUUAGGGAGUGUACUAUGCUGUCUUUAUCCAAUGUUAUACAAAGUGUUUUUUUUUGGAGCUGUGUGCCAUUCCAGCGUUCUUUGGAGUGCCACGUCUUGAUGAUAUCUGCGUAAAUCUGGAAGUGCUAAGCCGCCCCUCUGUCUCGGGAGGCAGAGUAGCUUGUGUCGGA